rnacentral:rRNA from 1 species
AUCGAACGCUGGCGGCAGGCCUAACACAUGCAAGUCGGGCGGAGCGGCGGACGGGUGAGUAAUGCCUAGGAAACUGCCUGGGAGUGGGGGAUAACGUACGGAAACGGGCGCUAAUAACGCAUACUAACAGAUGAGCCUAGGUCGUAUUAGCUAGUUGGGGGGUUAAAGGCCUACCAAGGCGACGAUCCGUAACUGGUCUGAGAGGAUGAUCAGUCACACGGGAACUGAGACACGGCCCAGACUCCUACGGGAGGCAGCAGUGGGGAAUAUUGGACAAUGGGCGAAAGCCUGAUCCAGCCAUGCCGCGUGUGUGAAGAAGGUCUUCGGAUUGUAAAGCACUUUAAGUUGGGAGGCGUUACCAACAGAAUAAGCACCGGCUAACUUCGUGCCAGCAGCCGCGGUAAUUC